CCUACGGGGAGCUGCAGUGGGGAAUAUUGGACAAUGGGCGAAAGCCUGAUCCAGCCAUGCCGCGUGUGUGAAGAAGGCCUUCGGGUUGUAAAGCACUUUCAGUGGGGAAGAAAGCCUUGGGGCUAAUACCCUCGAGGAAGGACAUCACCCACAGAAGAAGCACCGGCUAACUCCGUGCCAGCAGCCGCGGUAAUACGGAGGGUGCGAGCGUUAAUCGGAAUUACUGGGCGUAAAGCGCGCGUAGGCGGUCUGAUAAGCCGGUUGUGAAAGCCCCGGGCUCAACCUGGGAACGGCAUCCGGAACUGUCAGGCUAGAGUGCAGGAGAGGAAGGUAGAAUUCCCGGUGUAGCGGUGAAAUGCGUAGAGAUCGGGAGGAAUACCAGUGGCGAAGGCGGCCUUCUGGACUGACACUGACGCUGAGGUGCGAAAGCGUGGGUAGCAAACAGGAUUAGAUACCCGUGAGUC
rnacentral:rRNA from 1 species